UUCAUCACGGGCUAUGUUACCCCCCUGGUGGGAUCGCCCUGGUGGCUAUCGGUAGUGUAUGGGCCACAGGAGGACGUGGAGAAAAUUGCCUUUCUUGAUGAGUUGGUGGAAAGGCGUGCUCUUUGCCCGGGACCUUGGAUGGUCAUUGGAGAUUUCAAUCUCAUCCUUUGUGCUGCUGACAAGAGCAACGCCAACAUUGACCAGAGAAUGAUGGGACGAUUUAGGCGUUUUAUUGAUAACAUGGAGCUUAAAGAAUUAUUCCUACAUGGGCGCAAAUUCACUUGGAGCAAUGAGCGAGAGCUUGCC
rnacentral:rRNA from 1 species